rnacentral:rRNA from 1 species
GAUGAACGCUGGCGGCGUGCCUAAUACAUGCAAGUCGAGCGGACCAAAGAGAGCUUGCUCUCUGAGGUUAGCGGCGGACGGGUGAGUAACACGUGGGUAACCUGCCUGUAAGACGGGGAUAACUUCGGGAAACCGAAGCUAAUACCGGAUGAUAAAGAGAAACGCCUGUUUCUUUUUUGAAAGUCGGCCUUGUGCUGACGCUUACAGAUGGGCCCGCGGCGCAUUAGCUAGUUGGUGAGGUAACGGCUCACCAAGGCGACGAUGCGUAGCCGGCCUGAGAGGGUGAUCGGCCACACUGGGACUGGGACACGGCCCAGACUCCUACGGGAGUCAGCAGUAGGGAAUCUUCGGCAAUGGACGAAAGUCUGACCGAGCAACGCCGCGUGAGCGAUGAAGGCCUUCGGGUCGUAAAGCUCUGUUGUCAGGGAAGAACAAGUACCGGAGUAACUGCCGGUACCUUGACGGUACCUGACCAGAAAGCCACGGCUAACUACGUGCCAGCAGCCGCCGUAA